GGGGGUCGGCGCGGGCGGAGACUCACCGGAACGGCGGCGAGACGCGAAAAACGGCGGCGGCCGAGUGCAACUCCGGCGAGCAAUUAAAAUGCAACCGAGGCGAAAUCGGGCGAGCGGUUGGGGGGAAGUGGUAGAGAAAAGCGAGGGCUUCGGGGUGACGCGCAAGGAUUUGGAGGAAACGGCCCGAGCGCGGAGAAAUCGGAGGUGGAGUCGUGGGCAGUUCGCGGGGCGUGCGUGGUCGGGCUUCUCAGACGGAGGUCGAAGAUGACGUACGGGUCCCACCGGUCAGUGAGAGCGGGCGGCUCGGGCGGGGCGGAGCCGGUUGGUACGGUCUGGUUCGGUCCGGUUCAGCCGGUUCGGCCCGGUUCGGCCGGUUUUUCUUGGUUUUUCUUUUUCCUUUAUCUAUUUUCUUUUUUUUGAACCUCAAAAUUGAUUCGAAGCUCCAAAUCACUCCAAAUAAAAUGCAACAAAAUUUGUAAAAUCAUAUUUUCAUAUGAUCUAACUUUUGGAACAACAAUUUCGUCAAAAUAAAAUAUUUAAAAAUACAUUUGCCUAUAAAAUGGCUUUUAGGGCCCUUAGGCUAUCGAAACAAAUUAUUUUUCAAAAUAAUUUCAAAAGCCAAAUAUGGGAUAGCUCUAUAUACGCAUUAAAUCCCUUUUUACCACAAUACCCU
rnacentral:lncRNA from 1 species